GACAGAGGGUGCAACCGUUGUUCGGAAUUACUGGGCGUAAAGCGAGUGUAGGCGGUUUGGUAAGUCGGAUGUGAAAGCCCUGGGCUCAACCCAGGAAGUGCAUUCGAUACUGUCAAGCUAGAGUAUCGGAGAGGUUGGUGGAAUUCUCGGUGUAGAGGUGAAAUUCGUAGAUAUUCGCAAGAACACCAGUGGCGAAGGCGGCUCACUGGCCCGGUACUGACGCUGAGGUGCGAAAGCGUGGGGAGCAAACAGG
rnacentral:rRNA from 1 species